CAGCUCGAGUUUCUCUUCAUUGUCGCAUAAAUCUUUCGCCUUUUACUAAAGAUUUCCGUGGAGGGGAGCUUUUGGAGUGACCUGUAUUUUUUUGGGGGCUCUGCUCACAGCAGAGCU
ensembl:snRNA U5 U5 spliceosomal RNA